CAGCCAGAGCUCAGCAAGUGAUCUGCCUGGUUCUGCUCCACAGAGAAAGGCUUGCCCUGCAAUUUCUCACUGAGUCAUGAGGUCAAGUAAAAAUUCCACCAAUGUCUUUAAAUAGUCUUGACUCCAGCAAGCCAACAUGGGUGAGGAUAGUGGAGUGUGCCUGUGUGUGCCUGGCAGGGAGAGCAGGUCUCAGUGGCUGCUGGAGGGGGAAUUUAAGAGAGACUUCAGCUGCUGCCCAGUGACACUGAUAAAAAAAAGUCCUCAAAGGGAAACAUUUUGCAGACAUGGAAGAGGCAGAAGCACUAUCAGGAUCAAUGAAUUUAAAAACUGUUUUGAGCAAUGGAAAAUGUCUCAAUACAUGUAUUGCAUCAAAUGGAGAGUACUUUGAAGGUCACUGAAGUUUAAACAUCUGGAACCCUGUCUACAAUGACUACUCUAUCCUCUGUUCUCUACUGAUGACUUCCAGUCUCAGCCCCUGAUCCAUCCAGCACUCUCCUCACCAAGACUCAGAAUCAUCAGAUCCCAUGGUGUAAGCUCUUCCUCCGGGCACCAAUUCCAAUGCCACCCCUUUUGCAAAUCUUCCCCUACCACGUAAUGAGCCCCAUUUAGCUUUCUGUCCUCCCUUCUUAUGUUACUUGAUAUGCAAGAUUCCUAUUUGCUCUUCAGUCUCUGCUUUGCACUAUAAUCAUGUAAGGACAUAUCUAUCUGAUUCACUAAACAGCAAGCACCUAGAAGGCAUAUUGUAUUUAACUCAUCUUUCUAUAUCACAGAAAACCUACUACCUGUAUAAUUCAACAAUACUGAACAGAUACAAAGAUGUGUAAUGGAAAAAAUAUGGAUGCAACUCAUAACUGUGUGCCCACAGCUGAGAUUAAGAAAUGACACAUUACCAUGACCUUGGAAGGCCCACGGGUGUCCCUCACCAGUCCUACUGCCUUCUCUCUUCACUUAGAGACAACUAUUAUUUUAUGUUUUAGCUGGUAAUUUUCAUACUUUUCUACAUAGUUUUGCUAUAUAUAUAUUCACAUUCCUAGGUGUCAUUUAUAUAAAUAUCUGGAGAAAUAAACUUUUCAUAUAU